AGGGCAUCAGGCUUGAGGGGAUUCGGGGGCUCCCUCCACUCCGAACCCCGAAUCUUCGACUUUGAAUUCGAAGGGGGGAAGGGCUUGGAGGGAGAGGCCAAGGCCAAAGGCUCGAGAGGAACUCUUUUUUUAGAGCUCGCGGAGGAAUCGUCCCGAUGAGCGUCACCUCGGUGAUGCGUCCCGAGCCCUAUAUAAGCCGCUCUUCCUGGCUCCGGAGAAGCAUAGAGCAGGCGGGAGGCGACCGUAGCCUUUCAGAGUAGUCAGCCAGCUGCCAGCGGGAUUUGGGUUGGGGCUUCCAGGAAUGGCUCCCAGGGAGAAAGGAGAAGGGGGCUCGGGGAGAAAGCGGCACUUAACAGGGGCCUCUCGGGAGCUUAGUGAGCUGUGGACGGGCGAAGCAAGAGAGGGAAGGGUGGAGAAAAGCUUUGUGGGGCAAAGGGUUUGUGGACCAUCCUGGGGGUGUGAGACUGGGAAAGCCCCAGGAGGUGCUGCUCAGCACAGAUGUUGUGGAAAAGGACUUAGCUCCUGGAGGCUCAGGGUGGUAUGUAAUUGUGUCGACGAGGACGGGCGCUCCAAGCCAGGGAGGGCUUAGUGGAUGCUGGAGGGGGCCCGGGGGGGUCCCGGGACAGCUCCACCAGGUAGGGUUGUAAGCGUUAUUCUGUUGACGGCUAGGUGGCGCUGCAGGGUUUGAUGUGCUUGUAAGUUGCUGGGGCGGGGGAGGGGGGGAAUUGACACGUUUUAUCUUCCAGAUGGCAGGAUUCUCCGUGGGGAACCUUUCUUUCCUUUAGGUUGGAAGCUAACUUCUUUAGGUGUGAAGUGCCCAGUCUGCUCCCUCUACCUCUGCUUCUCCUUCUUUAUUUCACGAGGUUUUCAGUCGCUAAGUUCAGUUUUUAAAUUCUGGUUCUGGUGAGGCGUAAGUAACUCAAGGGGAAUAUCCCGAAUGUGUCCUUAAGGUGGCGCACAUGGCUCGGUAGCCUUAGGCCGUCAGCGUCGGCUACGAACCCCCCUGACUCGGCAGCCACAGGCAGGUCUCCUUAAGCCUUGGGCGGGGCAGGAUUUCUAGGCGGAAGGCACCCGCCCAUCCCCGUACGGGAGUGAGGCUUCUCACAGAAGCAGGGUGUGACGUAAUGAGGGGUGGGGCCCCAGCAAGGAAGCCUUGCUCGGUCGGAGCUGGCCACGGGCUCGGGUGGCUUUUCCAGGAGCACGUUUUCUGUAGUAAAUGCCUUUUGGAACAUGAUUGAUUAUAGUGUUCAUCCGGACGGUCUGAUGGCAGCAUCAGAAAUGGAGCAGUUUGCCCAAUGAGCCCCUAGCGAGCGUGCGGCAGGGAGAGAGCUCACCGAGAAAGCUCGUUUCCUUCAGAGCCAUCGUAGUUGAUGCCUCCAGUCUUGUAAAGAAAGCUCAUCAGCUUAAUGUUGGCAGAGCCCCUUCAGGAAGUGGUCGCGGUUGAGGUUGCUGGCCUUUUCAGUGUCACGUGGGUGUGUUGAUAAUUUGGCCGCCAGCGCCAGCGGCCCGGGGGAGACGCCUCCGGGCCACAUCCUGGCGUCUCUGCUGAGGAUGGGCCGCGGCCUCGGAGCCUCGGCCCCUCCCGCCGUGGCUGUUAGGGCCCCGGCAGCCCAGCCGACCUUUAAAGUGCCCGGGGGGUGGGGGUUGUCAGGUGCCAGCUUCCCAGUCCGAGGCUCCUCCGCGUAAGCCGGUUUCCAGUUAAGAACUUCUUGGCGCCAAGAAGACCGAGCUGGGAAGCGCCACGAACUAUUGUAAGAUGGAACUGAGAUACGGACCCCGCCCGCGGGCGGCCGCUUCUAGAGCGGCCGAGGGAUCGCGCUCCUGCACUGCUUAAAGCCAAAGGACCCGAGCAGUGAGCUCGCGGCAGAGCCGAACCGUACACGGAGAGGGGCCGG
rnacentral:lncRNA from 1 species